ensembl:lncRNA
AGUUUGUAAAAGGCUGAAGCGUAUUUGCAGGAGCGUAAUGUUUUUGUAUGCGAUGCUUUCCCCAGUCAUUGUGCAGUGUGUGUUAGAGUCUUGUACAUCAGCUGUUCCUGCACUGCUUUUUCAUCUCUACAUCGUACACGUCCUCCUCUUUUAAUCACCGCUCUCAGUGUCUGUUAUUCAGAUAACAGUGGUGGAACGGGACUGAUCUGGAGCAGACGGGUUCAGUUCUAACUCGCUGCAUGAAGGGUUUAAUAUGGGGUGUAGUGAAAGGUUCCAGGUUUGGGAAUCACUGUGCUGGUUCUGACUGGCUUUGAGAAGCAGGACCGAGCUGAGCCACGCUGCUGAUCCUAACGAGCUGAACACAAGGGCUUUGGACUGCAUUUUUGAUCCAGAUGGACUGAUUUCAGUCUUCUUCAUCCCUGGUUCUGCGCUGGAGGAUGUUUUUGAACUCGGUUGCGCUACAGAAACAGAAGCUCGCUUUAGGAAUGAAGAAAGCCACGUCAUUGUAAAGUUCUGUAGUAAUAUUUCUGUAAAAUGUAAACUAAAUGCAC